UACGUAGGCAGCGAGCGUUGUUCGGAAUUACUGGGCGUAAAGAGUGUGUAGGCGGUGUUCCCAGUCUGUUGUGAAAUCUCCCGCUUAACUGGGAGGGUGCGCCGGAAACUGGAGUGCUCGAGCGUGGGAGAGGAAAGCGGAAUUCCUGGUGUAGCGGUGAAAUGCGUAGAUAUCAGGAGGAACACCGGUGGUGUAGACGGCUUUCUGGACCAUAGCUGACGCUGAGACACGAAAGCGUGGGUAGCAAACAGG
rnacentral:rRNA from 1 species